UUCGGCUUGGAUAGAAGAACCACUUCCAAAAUGACCACUGAAAGCACAUAACAAAAUGCCAUCCUGAUCGCGAAGAACACCACACCUGAAAUGACAAAUAGUUAAGGAUGCCAUUAUAACCGACCUACGAAAUUUUGAUGAAGAAAAGGUCUUAUAUGGAAGCUUGAAUACUUGGACAUCUUAACAAACAACAUACCAAGAACUCAAGGUCAACGUCAUAUAAUCUAGGAUUGCUUUUUACAUUCUAGAGUCCUAAGAUGAUUGCCUGGUAUUGAGUCUUAGGUCAGAUAAACCCAAGAUGGAAGUGUCUCACAAAAAGUCUAAAAUGAAAAUCAUAUAGCAUGAGGCAUAACAUCUACAUACAUAUAUAUGAUAAGUAAUACUCAUGCAUUUGCAUUAAUCAUACAUGAUUUUGUGCAUAAAGGUUUUAAUCAUUUCUAAAAAUCUUGUUGCAUGUUCAUUCAUCAUAUAGGGU
rnacentral:lncRNA from 1 species